UAUAUAUUUAUUUAUUUAGAUUAAUUCCGUUUUCUAGGAGUUUAUUGUCUGCUAUGAACUUUUCUUUGUAAAUGGAAUUGAUAGAAAAUAUAAUAUAAUAGAAAAAAAAUGGAGAAGAUAAAAGGAGAGAGAUAUUGUGAGAGCUACAUAUUUGUUAUUCUCAAUUGCCUUGUAAUGCGUGAGAACUUUGAAAUCUUGAGUUUGAAAUUUAAGUGUAGCCUUCAUAUUCGUUGAUUGAUUGCCAAUGAGAUGAUGAAAGUGGCAUUGGUGAUGAAGUGACUACUAGUUGGAACAUAAAAUGUGGAUGGAUUUGUGGCCAAUAAUGGGUUGUUAAUGGGUCAAAGCUAACAAAAGGCCAAAAGAUUAAUCCGAUAAUGGGCUACAUAUGGCCUUGGUCAACUAUGUGACCAAAAUCGAAAUGCCAAAAAUGGGUCUGGGGCUACAAAUAAUGCUCACAACAGACCAAGACCCAAUAAAAAAGGGCUCACAACUAAUUAAAAUACUCCAAAUGCAUUGAUUUGAAAUGAAGUAUGGUAGAACGACAAUGAAAAUUUUUGUGAGAGGUAAAGCUAGUAGAAAAACUUUAAAAGAAAUAGUCCACAGGAUCGAGCCUAACCUUAGCCAAGGGCUCUGACACCAGGAAGGAAAAUAAUAUAAAAUAAAAAGGGAGAUGGAGACGAGAAAGAGGGACAAAGACUUUAAGGGCUGAAUACAAAUCAUUGGUCCCUAUUUAUAAGAAAAUUACAUGGAGAUGAAACAAGGUAAAUAUUUUUGAAAAUCAAAUCUCUUAAUUUGAUAAUUAUGUAAUCAAGUAAGUAUAUUAAUCAAAUCAAACUUUUGAUUUGAUAUUGUCUUCAACAGGAAUGGGCUUUUUUUAUGGGAUCAUAUUUUAUUUGUUACCCAAUUGUUUCAAUUUAAGAUCGAUCAUCUUAAUCACCCCCCCCCCCCCCCACAAAAGAAAAAAUGCAACAAGUAAAUGGCUUAUUACAUUACAGAAUUAAUUUGUUAAUCUAUAGAACUUGUGAGAUUUAGAAUAAUAUCAGCACAGAGUUUAAUGUGCGCAGAUUUCUUUUAUUUUAUUCCCUAACUUGUAAGCCUUGGCCAGAAGGAGUUCAAGUGUGCUUGUGGGUUGUCAUACUUACUUAUUACUCGAAUUUUUAAAAAUUUGUGUUUGCUUCUUUCAGUUUUCUAUAAAUAAGAUUAAGAAGAAAUGGAUUUAUAGAAAGAGGGGGAAAGGAAAAGGAUAAAAGGCAGCUGGUAUGGUAAAUUACUAAAUAUUUAAAAUACGUGCAAAGAGAUGUAAUGCAUGAAAAAUCCAGAGCGAAAGUGUGAACCACAGGAGGAAGGAAAAGUCUCCAGCAAUGGAAGUGGGAACAAUAUUGAAGCCACAUAGAAUGAGAUGGAUGAGGAAAAAUAGAAACAUAACAAGCAAUGGUAUCCUUUUAAAUGAGCUCUUUUGUAAUCCAACACAGCAUUUUUCCUGGUUCUCCCUACCUUUUUGGGUAUCUACUGUUCAUACAAAUUUCUAUGAAACGAACAAGGUCGUGUGGCAUAUCGCUAUGUCGUUUUUGAACCUAGUAUUGUGUCUAAAUGUCUGCACGUGACGUUGCAGCUGGAAGAUAAUGUGUGGGAUGACUUUGGUGAGAGCGACAAUCAUACAGUGCCUCAUCCUGGUGAUGAAUGUGGGGAAGAAUUUGCAGUACUGGGUGAUAGCUAUAAGAAACCACAUGUAGCAAUUGAUGUUACAAGUACUGCUGCUAAUGCAACUAAAUAUAAAAUUUGAGGAAAGGAGGAAACAGUUUCACCAAUAUUGACCAAGAAAACACACAAUGUUGGAAAAGGGUGCAUGGUCUCAAACACCUGAUUACAUGUUUCCUUCUUCAUGUGAUAGUGACUCGCUUAAAGCAGUGACAAGAAUAGAAUCUGAUGAUACUAGGAUGUCCAGCCAUUGUUUCAAAAGUGGGAAGAUAAAUUAUUCAGGUGGCAGGGAGUUUUGUGCUGAUGAUCCUAUCUUGGAUGACAGGUGUGCUGCAGUUGAUAUAACUUGACCGAUAUCCAUUAAGCAACAUAUCCCAAGCAGAUAAUGAUCUCAGCUUUUUGGAUGAUCAUCAUGAAGACAGAGAAUGUAGUGAUCCCUUAUCCUAUUUGUGGCCAAAUAUAGAAAAUUUUGAGUAUGUUGACAGGAUGUUUAGGUGGUCUUCAAAAUUCUUCCCUGUUAUUGUUGAUAUUUUCUUAAUGUUAUCCCUUUGUAUAUGCUACUUCCAGUUCUCUUAGUAAUGAAGACUAGUUGUGCUGGUUCUCAUCUUCACAUGCUACUGAAGUAUCCAAAUAUGCAUUAAGGUCUGGCAGCAAGUUUGUAGGUCACAUGGCAAGUCCAUUGAAAAUUUCAGAAUGUGAUUAAGUUUCCCAGCCUAAAAGUGCAGGUCUUCCAAUCAAUGAUUCCAACAGGGAAAGUGUUUCCAUAAUUGAUCAAAACGAAAUCUCAGACUUCCCAUAAUGAAAAAAAAAAAAAACUUGACAUCUUUCGUCUCCUGUCGUCCGUGAAAGCAUCAGAUAUGAACACUGAGAGUAGGGAUAACUUAAUGCCCAAAGAGCAGAUCAAUGUGCAUUUAAAGCAGUCCAAGAACCAGAAACAAAGAGAAAGGAAAGAAAAGAUUGAUAUCUGGGAAAUGUUGUUUCUUUUCACUAUUAUAGUAAACAUCAUGAUCUGGAGCACUGCUAUUGGAGAUUUACUGCCUUUUUCUCCUCCAGGAAUUCAUCAACAUAACCAAGACGUAGGACUGGAUAACUUGUGUUUUAUGCAGACACAGAUAACCUGUAUGCACCUGGGAUGUAGUCGUCCUUUGGAUCAAAUUUCAUUUUGUCCAGCUCUAUCGGGCACCAAAUCUGAGAUCAAUGGCCACACAUCUUCUUCUAAGGAGUCUUCCUAUGCAUCAAAUCCAGUUCAGUACAUCGAGAGCUUGCAUGGUUCUCCAUUCGAGGUUCUGGAAGAAACAAUCAAUGAGAGGAGAGAAAAGCUAUCUCCUAUUACUGGGAAGUUUAAAGAUGUUGAUAUGUCUCCUCUGGUGGAAUUUUGUCAUCCAGUUUCAGCUCUGGAGCAAGUACAGCACUCUGAAAAUGAGGUUGAAGCUCAUAAUGAAGUCAAAGGAGUUAGUGCAGGUAUUCCAACUGACUUAGAUUCUUCAAACCUACACGAGAGCUCUUGCAUGAGCUAUGUGGUGGAUGAAAUCUCACAAGAAGCAACUAAUUUUUGCCAGCUUUAACAAGUGAUGGAACAGCGUUCAAUAUUUUUCAAAUUAACCGAUCUGAAGCUGCUUAAAUUCAGUUGGAUAUCAGAACUAAAUGUGUGAAGGGAUAGUCUAUAUUGCUUGGCUAGGAGUGCUGAACAAAGGCAUAAUUGUAAAAAUCUGAUUAGCUGCAAUGGAGAUGAUAGAGAUGCAAAUAGAGCCCUAACGGUUCAAGAAACAAACAAGUGCAAUGGAUGUGUGAAUAUGGAAACUUGUACGAACCGAUAGAUUGCUCUAUAGCACACCUACUGUUUCACAGGCCCCCAGAUGCAUCUCUAAUGCGAGCUAACAAUGCCUUCUCUCUUAGGUCUCAUAGCUCAAUGCAUGGAUGUGUUACUAGUCCGCCUGUGAUGGCUGAGAGACUAGUUUUUCAAGAAGAUACCAUUGCCAGUGCAGAUGUUGCCGACGGAUAACCAAUAAUGAAAAAUGGUUUGCAGAAACACCAUAUUUUUGAUGAAUUGACAGCAAGUCAUAAUAUAUAGUCGAACUGCAUAGAUGGCAGGUUUGAUGUCAUGUUUUGGAUAUCAUUUGUUAGAUAGCCUUUGUUGUCUAUGUUGGUGUAUAUCCUUCUUGCAUCAUUCAUCUUGAUAAUCUAUUCAUCCUUGCAUCA